AGCUCCAAUAGCGUAUAUUAAAGUUGUUGCAGUUAAAAAGCUCGUAGUUGGAUUUGUGGCUGUCACGGGCGGCCUAUCACUUAGUGUUAGUGCUUGCCUGUGUCGCCAUCCUUGGGUGGAGCCCGUGUGGCAUUAGGUUGUCGUGCGGGGGAUGCCCAUCGUUUACUGUGAGAAAAUUAGAGUGUUCAAAGCAGGCAUUCAUCGUGCCCGAAUACAUGAGCAUGGAAUAAUGGAACAGGACUACGGUCACUGCACUUUUUCCGUUGGUUUCGGAGGACCGAAGUAAUGAUUAAGAGGGACAGUUGGGGGCAUCCGUAUUUCGUAGUCAGAGGUGAAAUUCUUGGAUCUGCGAAAGACGAACGAGUGCGAAAGCAUUUGCCAAGAGUGUUUUCAUUAAUCA
rnacentral:rRNA from 1 species